rnacentral:rRNA from 1 species
GAUGAGCGCUGGCGGCGUGCUUAACACAUGCAAGUCGAGCGAAGCGCUUAAGUUUGAUUCUUCGGAUGAAGACUUUUGUGACUGAGCGGCGGACGGGUGAGUAACGCGUGGGUAACCUGCCUCAUACAGGGGGAUAACAGUUAGAAAUGACUGCUAAUACCGCAUAAGACCACGGUACCGCAUGGUACAGUGGUAAAAACUCCGGUGGUAUGAGAUGGACCCGCGUCUGAUUAGGUAGUUGGUGGGGUAACGGCCUACCAAGCCGACGAUCAGUAGCCGACCUGAGAGGGUGACCGGCCACAUUGGGACUGAGACACGGCCCAGACUCCUACGGGAGGCAGCAGUGGGGAAUAUUGCACAAUGGAGGAAACUCUGAUGCAGCGACGCCGCGUGAAGGAUGAAGUAUUUCGGUAUGUAAACUUCUAUCAGCAGGGAAGAAAAUGACGG